rnacentral:rRNA from 1 species
CGGGUGGUAAUGCCGGAUGUUCCACAUGAUCGCAUGUGAUUGUGGGAAAGAUUUCAUCGGCGUGGGAUGGGGUCGCGUCCUAUCAGCUUGUUGGUGAGGUAACGGCUCACCAAGGCUUCGACGGGUAGCCGGCCUGAGAGGGCGACCGGCCACAUUGGGACUGAGAUACGGCCCAGACUCCUACGGGAGGCAGCAGUGGGGAAUAUUGCACAAUGGGCGCAAGCCUGAUGCAGCGACGCCGCGUGAGGGAUGGAGGCCUUCGGGUUGUAAACCUCUUUUGUUUGGGAGCAAGCCUUCGGGUGAGUGUACCUUUCGAAUAAGCGCCGGCUAACUACGUGCCAGCAGCCGCGGUAAUACGUAGGGCGCAAGCGUUAUCCGGAUUUAUUGGGCGUAAAGGGCUCGUAGGCGGCUCGUCGCGUCCGGUGUGAAAGUCCAUCGCUUAACGGUGGAUCUGCGCCGGGUACGGGCGGGCUGGAGUGCGGUAGGGGAGACUGGAAUUCCCGGUGUAACGGUGGAAUGUGUAGAUAU